GGUAAAUCUACCAAUUGUCUCUCAUUUAUUGCUUCCCCUCUCCUACUGCCUUCAAAGAUAGCCAUAGCCUCCGUUAUGCAUGGUUCUCUCUUAUCUCUCGCAUUUCUUCACACUGUCGUGUCCUCCCGAUUGGUUUUGGCAUUGUACUCAUGGGCUCUUCUAGCCAGGGCCAUGGCUUGCCUUGCUUCCCUUGUAUCUUUCUGGUGUUUGUCUGGUCUGUCCCUAAGGUUCCUACUCGUCGCACCUACAUGCACUUCACUGUUUUGCUUGUCCAGAUUCAUGAGAGGGAUUUCAUAUACUCCCGACUGUUCUCCC
rnacentral:lncRNA from 1 species